rnacentral:rRNA from 1 species
UACGUAGGGCGCAAGCGUUAUCCGGAAUUAUUGGGCGUAAAGAGCUCGUAGGUGGUUUGUCGCGUUGUUCGUGAAAUCUCACGGCUUAACUGUGAGCGUGCGGGCGAUACGGGCAGACUAGAGUACUGCAGGGGAGACUGGAAUUCCUGGUGUAGCGGUGGAAUGCGUAGAGAUCGGGAAGAAUACCCGUGGCGAAGGCGGCCAGCUGGGCCAGGUCCGACACUGAGGCGCGAAAGCGUGGGGAGCAAAUGGG